rnacentral:rRNA from 1 species
GACGAACGCUGGCGGCGUGCUUAACACAUGCAAGUCGAACGGAAAGGCCCUGCUUUUGUGGGGUGCUCGAGUGGCGAACGGGUGAGUAACACGUGAGUAACCUGCCCUUGACUUUGGGAUAACUUCAGGAAACUGGGGCUAAUACCGGAUAGGAGCUCCUGCUGCAUGGUGGGGGUUGGAAAGUUUCGGCGGUUGGGGAUGGACUCGCGGCUUAUCAGCUUGUUGGUGGGGGAGUGGCUUACCAAGGCUUUGACGGGUAGCCGGCCUGAGAGGGUGACCGGCCACCUUGGGACUGAGAUACGGACCAGACUCCUACGGGAGGCAGCAGUGGGGAAUAUUGCACAGUGGGCGGAAGCCUGAUGCAGCAACGCCGCGUGCGGGAUGACGGCCUUCGGGUUGUAAACCGCUUUCGCCUGUGACGAAGCGUGAGUGACGGUAAUGGGUAAAGAAGCACCGGCUAACUACGUG